GAACCAGCAACGUUUCAGCUAUAUAUGGAGAAAAUAUGUAUUUUCCUUCUUCUCAACUUAAAUUAGUAAAAGUCCUCGUAAGGAAAAUAUGGACAGCAAGGUUAUUCAAUUUUGUUACGAGUUGCGCUCACCAUUUCGAUCUCGUUAUUCCAUUUUGUCGUGUUGUUGAAUCCGGGCUUUCUUCUAAGUGAAGUAAGGUGGAAGAAGAGUAUUUCUUUGCAUAUAAGAUCUUGGGAAGCCCGAGACUUAAGUAUGGAUUAGCUUAGGAAGCGGACAAGACACCGAGCCGCGUUAUAGUCGGUCGGGUACGGCACGUAGAUUUGCAACCACUGAUCGGUCAGCUAUUCACACUGAGUCCUGAUACAGGCCUGGUACGUUAUACAUACCGAGUCUCGCUAAGACGAGUACGUAAUAUAGAUAGGAUGGCGAUAAAGGCCUAGGCCAAUGGAUACUUAUGCAUUGAUAAAUGGUUUUACAUGAAAGCAUGCAUGAUUCUUUCCUUCAGGGCUAUUUACAUUUCUAGUCAUUGCCUUCGGGGCUACUUACAUUGUUAUUCUCUGCCUUCGGGGCUAUUCAUAUUACAGGUUGUUUCUCGUACUCUCAUUACCACUUAUAUCUCAUUCUUUAUGAUUACCGCUGCCUUACAUACUCGGUACAUUGUUCGUACUGAUGUCCCUUUGCCUAGGGGCGCUGUGUAUCAUGCCACAUAGCCCCAUAUUGUAAAACAACCCCAUAUUGCUUUGCAGGAAAGUUAUGCAGGAGCUUGACUAUAGGAUGUCCCAGGCUAUCAGCUGGAUUGGUAAACUCCAUUCUGUUCGAAGUGAUGCCGCGUCGGAAUAUUUCCUUAUGAGUUCAGUCAUAUGCAUUAUGGGUAUGUUGGGGCCCUGUCCCAACUUAGGUUUUGAUAUCAUAUCUUACGUUAGAGACUUUUGCAGACAGAGUCAUGUAUAUAGUAUAUUAGUCGCGUAAGCGGCUAUGUAAGCCGAUGUGUCAUUAUGCAUUACUGUACAGAUUUCAUAUGAUUACAGAUUUUACUUGAUUUGAGAAAGAC